rfam:Triticum aestivum genome assembly, contig: Triticum_aestivum_CS42_TGACv1_scaffold_393087_5AS
AUGGAUGUGAGGAUCCUUUCCCCAAAUGAUCGACUAUGAUUAUACUGUACGCACAUAUAAUCCUCAUCAGAGGGUUCCAAGCAAGAAAUCUGAUCCAU